AAGUCAGGGCCGCGGCGCUUCUGGUCCCGGAGACUUGGGGCUCCCGGGCUUCUGAGCGGCUCGGGUUCCGCGCUGCCGGCAGGGCUUGGGGGCGCCUUAGAGCCGAACCCCGUUUUUUCAGGAAAGGGCGCUGCGACCACCCCCGUCCCGGGCCUCAGCCCCUCUGCUGCAGACCCUCGGGAUCGUCGCUGGUAGGAGCUCUGUCCCCCGUGUCUGUGUCCAGGACCCCCGAAGCGCCGCGCCUAGGAACCCCCUAGCGCUGGGAGCCCGGCCCUGCUCGACCACGGGCUUUGGGCUGGAGGCGUCAUCGUCGCCACAGCGAACGCUUAUUUGGCACCGAGUGUCCGCCAGGCAUCGCUCUAAGCGCUUUAUACCCAUAACUCACUUCAUCUCAGCCACCCGGUUCCGUAGAAGCGUUUCAUCCGCGUUUUACAGACGUGUGCAGGAAAGAUUCUGAAGCUUGGCGGAGAGGGGUGUGUGAGUGGACACCAGUGAAGUAACGGUUUUUGUGUUACGAUGAUUUCUGUUUUCCUCUGCUGCCCUGUAAUGGCAGGAACUCGGAUAGUCUGGUCUUCAGACCAGGAGGACUCCCAGGAGAGAACGGAGAGCCAGUGUGCUGUGUGUCACGGUCCCUGGAUGAACGUUUGUGGAACUGGAUUGAAUUAAACAAGACGUGCAAAGCAAGUGGUUCACGAGAUUCGAUUGCUGUAGGGACCCCGUGGGUGUGGAAUCAGACAGUAUUGGUCCUUUCAUGACUGGCUUAUUUCACAAAACCCGAUGCCGUCGAGGUCCAUCCAUGCUGAGAUAUUUACGGAGCAUCCCCAGCUGCUGGAUGCUGGGACCCACCAGUGGGCAAGAGGGCCGUGCCCACCCCUUCCUGGAAGAGACACUCACUCAGUAAAUGCAGAGAUUCAGUGUUGGGGUAACCCCAGCACACAGCCCUGAGGGAGGAAGCCCAGUGAUUUGAUCGGAUUUGCUUUUCUCUUCUGCCUCGGAUUCUGUCCAACCCCUGGAAGGACCUCUGAGGUGUCCCGUGGCUGGUUCUAGGCCCCAUUCAAGCCUCCUCCUCCAGGAAGCCUUCCCAGUCCUGGGCAUCUGUAGCCAGCUCGGUGUUUCUCACCUGGGGCCUGGGACGUCUCCCAUUCUGAACUGCCGUGUUUUGGGUUUACUGUUCUCUGGCUUUUGGUCCCAGCCGGACGGUGGCCUCUUGUGUUCAGGGACAAGGCAAGGAGCAUCCAUGCACCCCCACAGUACCCAGGCUGGGUCUGUGCCCGCCAGGCCCCCGGCAAAGCUUGGAUGAUCCGGGCUGGGCUGUUCUCCUGCUGCUCUCCUGCUGCUGGCCUCGCUGUAUCAGCUGAUGGCCAUCGCGCCUCCUGCACCCGUCAUCCCGCCCUGCACGCCCCCGCCACGUGGAUGAGCUCCCUGGGGAGUUAAUGGCUAAUGGAGUCUCCGCUCUCUCUUGUCAAAUGCAGCCAUCAUCCGCUGGUGCUUUAAGGGACUCUCUCCCGUCCCCACCCUAUUCUCAGGUGGCUCCUACCGACACCACCUAAUGGUGAACCCCAACACGAGGACACAGGCAGUGCCCUCUCAGGACCACUGUGGGUGCCACCAGGCACGACUUCCUAAACACCCACAGAGCAAAAACCUGGAAAUUCAGCCGAGGCACUGGGACCCCAACCUCUCCCAGAGUGGCCCCAGCUCCACGGCGUCUGCAUGGCUCUGGCCGUGAGCAGAGCAGCCCCGACCUCCGUCCUGACCCAGGGCGCCGGAGCGCCACUGCGGAUCUCACCACCACACAAGCCAGACCUGCUAGGAAGCCCUUCCCGGCCACCAGCUCUCGGGCGAUGCACACAACAGGGCCUUUUGAAUUCCCUGAGGUUAAGGUUCCCCUUGAGUCUCCUGGGCUACAAGCAAAUCCCCCGAGGGGAGAAGUCCAGGCUGACACAGCCUCCUGCACCCCUGCCUUGGGAGGCCACACCUCGUUUGCCUCUAGAACCGACGACUGGGGAGCACUGUUUGCAGAGUUCUCUCUCUCUGGAACGGUGAAGGAAUCUGAAGCCCAGAGAGGGAAAACAAUGCCUCCUGGGUCACACAGCCCAUCAGGGGCAGGGCAGGGACGAACGGCGAGAAAAGGACCAGCGCGAGAGGAGAUCCCCAGCAGUGAUUCCUCAGCCAAGCCCAGCGUCUACCCACAUCCACACCUCACAGCCACCUGAUGGGGAAGGCACCAUUGCCCCUUUUCAAAGGUGAGAAAACAGAGGCUCAGAGAGGUUCAGCAACUUCUCCCACAGCUACUUCGUUGUAGAACUGCAGUUCCAGGUGUCCCCGAGCUCUCCCUUCCCGAGCCAUCUGCUCCUGCCCUCCUAUCCGAGCCCUGGCCCUCCCAGUCAAAGCCGGGUAGUGGCUGUUCAGAAGCCUUGGGGCUAGUCAAUCCCAGCUGUCUCGGACCAGGGCCCCCCCCAGGAGGAGACCCUGAAGGAUGCAGUUGAGAAUAUGUGCUUUCUUUGGUAGGUGAUCUCAGGAAUUGCAGGGGAAAGAGGGGGAGCGUGUUAGUGUAGGCUCUCCGGAGAAGCAGAACCAACGCACAGAGGAGAUUUAGGAUGAGGAAUCUGGUUUAUGUGACUCUGGGGGCUGAGAAGGCCCACCAUCUGUGUUGCAAGCUGGAAACCCAGGGAAGCCUGAGGUGUGAUUCAAACUCAGCUCAGGUCUGGAGGCCUGAGAACCAGGGCAGCCGAUGGUGGACAUCCAGUCCAGGGGCAAGAGAUGACGAGAUGUCCCGGCUCCAGUGGCGAGGCAGGAAAUGAGGGGUGAACUCCUCCUCCCUCUGCUGUCUGUUCUAUUCAAGUUCUUGAGGGAUUGGAUUAUGCCCAGCCACUUGGGGAGGGCAGUCCACCUUCCUGAGUCCACAAUUCAAAUGCUGAUCUAAUCCAGAAACACUCUCACAGACACAGUGUGUAGUCUGGGCACCCCACAGUGCACUUAAGUGGACACAUAAAAUUAACCAUCCCAGGGAGUGAGAUGGGUAAGGGAAGAUGGGCCACAGUGGGUGUGUCUCCAUGCCUACCCCCACUGUGGGCAGCUGCUGGAGCACACGCCUCAAAGUCUUCCCUGAGGGAGAGGGAGCUGAGGUGUUUAUAUCCCAGCUCUGUCAGGCAUUGGCUGAAUGUCCACACUCCUGGAUCACCGCCUCUCAUCCUCAUGAUGUCCCAUGGUCCUCAUUUCACAAGUGAGCUCUGGGUACAUGGGGAGCAUCAGUCACACCCUGGGUCAGUACCUCAGCUGUCUCUCACAUGACAUCCUCAUUAUCCACACUGCAAAGCCAACCAUCCCUAUGAUGGGUUCAUUGUGGAUCAUGACUUAGUGGGUCAAGAGUUUGGAAGUGGCUCAGCUGGGCGGUUCUUCUGCUCCAUGUGGCUGCCAGAUGGUACCCUGCUGGUGGGCAGUCUGGUCUAGAGGGUCCAUGAUGGCUUUACUCACAUGCCUGGCAUCUUGACAGGGACAGCUGGAAGGCAAGGUUCAGCUGGGACUGUCCACAGAGCUCCUCCCUGUGGCCUUUCCAGCAUGGUGGUCUCAGGGUAGCUGGACUUCCUGCAUGACAGCUCAGGGCUCCCAGAGCUACUGUCCCAAGAGAUAGAAGGUGGAAACUGCCAGUCUCUUAGGCUAGGACCAGAAACCAGCACCCCUGCACCCACAGCCUUUUGGUAGUGAUGAAAUAAACAUAAGAUUUAUCAUUUUAAUCAUUCGUAAGUGGGAUUAAAUACAUUUACAAUAUUGUGUAACCAUCGGCACUGUCUAUAUCUAAAACUUUUUCAUCAUCUGCAAUAAAAACUCUGUAUGCA
ensembl:lncRNA PSMG3-AS1 PSMG3 antisense RNA 1 (head to head)